rnacentral:lncRNA from 1 species
CGCGGUUCUACCUGUGGCCACUCACUCUCGGACGUAGACCCUGGUGCACACAACGUCAUCCGCCGUCAUGGUCAGGAUCAGUUCCCCAUCGUUGGUCAGUUCUCUGGUCCACGAGGUCUUGGGGCCCUCUCCCUUCAGGAGCUUCUGCUCACAGACCAUUUUAUUCUCACUCUCCCAUUUCACCAGGCUCUUACAGGGCCUCCCAUCCACAGUCUGCUCCUCAAACUCCUCCCCAACCUUGAAG